UGGGGAAUAUUGCGCAAUGGGCGAAAGCCUGACGCAGCGACGCCUCGUGAGGGAUGAAGGUCUUCGGAUCGUAAACCUCUGUCAAGAGGGAAGAAACCCUUGAGUUCGAACAGGGCUCUUGGCUGACGGUACCUCUAAAGGAAGCACCGGCUAACUCCGUGCCAGCAGCCGCGGUAAUACGGAGGGUGCAAGCGUUAAUCGGAAUCACUGGGCGUAAAGCGCUCGUAGGCGGUUUGGUCAGUCAGAUGUGAAAGCCCUCGGCUUAACCGGGGAACUGCAUUUGAUACUGCCAGACUUGAGUGUCGGAGAGGGUGGCGGAAUUCCGGGUGUAGGAGUGAAAUCCGUAGAUAUCCGGAGGAACACCAGUGGCGAAGCGGCCACCGUGGACGACAACGUGACGCU
rnacentral:rRNA from 1 species